UCGACAAAAUAAUUUUAUGGUUGGAGGAAGGGGUCACCACAGCAUGAGGUACUUUAUUAAAGGGUCCCAGCAUUAGUAAGAGGCUCUGGAAGAAGACAAGUAUGUGAGCAAGCAAUUGCAGUGUGAAAUGAAUUAAAACAAAAACUUGUGGUUCGGCUAGAGUGGUAAAUCCUGUGUGUGCCUGGCAGGUGACUUAGCAACUGCCUGGCUGUCACCUGGACCCACAAGGAAACUAAAUCCAUGGAAAAGCCCGUCACUUCUGCCUUCCUUUGUAUGUCUCUAAAGCAGGUUCCUGCUCAGCUCUGCAUACAGAUCCUGAAAUGGCACCUGAAAGUCCUCCGUUAUAGUCCUACGACAUGGACAACACAGAAAGAGGGCCCUGCAAACAGAUAAUCCCAAGAGGAUGCCUGAGAGGAUGUUGCCUGGCUGACGGGAAACAGCUGGCCUCAAACUCAAUAUGUAGCUAAAGAUGACCUUAAAUUUCUGCAUAUAUCUCCCAAGUACUGUGAUUACAACGGAUAUCACCGUACUCUGUGGUACUGAGGACUGAAACCAGGGCUCUGCACACAUUAAGGAUGAACUCUACCAGCUGAACCACAUCUUAAGCCUCUGUAUUUAUUAGUUAAAAAUUUCUAGAAAUAGGGGAUAGAAAGAUGACUCAACAGCUAAGAGGGUUUGAUACUCUUGCCUAAGCCCUGGGUUUGAUUCUCAGCACCUACAUAGCAGCUCAUGGCCACCUGUAACUCCAGUUCCAGGAGAUCCAGUAUUCUUUUCUGGCUUUCUUCAGUGCCACACAUUCACAUGGUGGACAGAUGUUGAUGCAGACAAAAUACUCAUACACAUAAAAUAAAAUCGUGAAAGUAAAAAAGAAAAAGUCUAAUUUACAGUGAGCUUUGCCAUUCAGGUGCUCAUCAUUUUUUCCUAAAGAACUGUUUUCAGUGUGAUGUGUGUGUAAUCUCAGUACUGCAUAUGUAAGAGAACGAAAACAAAUCCUUACUCUGAUCCUGUACAAAAACCAACCCUAAAUGAAUGAGACCUUACUGGAAGAUCUGAAACUCUGGAACUCUGAGAAGGAAACAUAGGAGAAAAGCUUCACAGGCAAGAAAUUUCUAAGGAUGACUCCAGUCUCCAAGAAAUAAAUGCCAGCAUCUAUCAAACGGUGUCUAAAGAAAUUAAGAGCACUGACUGCUUUUUGAGAGGUCCUGAGUUCAACCAUCUGUAAUGGA